AAAUGAAUAGACGGGGGCCCGCACAAGCGGAGGAACAUGUGGUUUAAUUCGAUGAUACGCGAGGAACCUUACCCGGGCUUGAAAUGCAGAGGAAUAAAGUGGAAACAUUUUAGUCAGCAAUGAUCUCUGUGUAGGUGCUGCAUGGUUGUCGUCAGCUCGUGCCGUGAGGUGUCGGCUUAAGUGCCAUAACGAGCGCAACCCUUAUCAAUAGUUACUAUCAGGUUAAGCUGAGGACUCUAUUGAGACUGCCACCGUAAGGUGCGAGGAAGGUGGGGAUGACGUCAAAUCAGCACGGCCCUUACGUCCGGGGCGACACACGUGUUACAAUGGGGGGUACAGAGGGUUGCUACCUAGCGAUAGGAUGCUAAUCUCUUAAAGCCUCUCUCAGUUCGGAUUGGAGUCUGCAACUCGACUCCAUGAAGCUGGAUUCGCUAGUAAUCGCGCAUCAGCCAUGGCGCGGUGAAUACGUUCCCGGGCCUUGUACACACCGCCCGU
rnacentral:rRNA from 1 species